AUAUUCUCUUUCUCGUGGUUAGAUGGAAAUCAUUACUAGUUUCAAUGACGUCUUUCAUUCCAUGUAAAACUUACCCUUUUCUACCACACUCUGAAAUCAGCAGUGAAAGGAAAAUCCAGACUAGGGGUGAUGAAUGCUAAGGUAACAGCACCACAGGACUUUGCCCUCGCACAGCAGCGUGUAUUUCCUCCAGAUCCUUCCAAAGCAGUCUCACAGGGUGCUCCAGGAAACAUCAGCAGCAUCUCUCAGGGCCAGCGUUCCCGUGCCCCACGGCCAUCCCUGCAGACAGCCCUCCUGCUGCUCCUGGACUUUCUGACCCGCAGCUUUAUGACACAACAGCCCAUUUCUCCCUGCUUUGCCUCUCCCCUCCUGCCUCAUCCACCUUAACUGAACACGCACAGAAGGCAGAUACGUAAAAACAAAUGAACAGUGAAAAAGUCACACCUACAACACACCUAAAAACUCCUCCUUUCAAAAUUACAUUCACCCACCUGCAGAAUAAAUUCUUCUAUUGUCUUCUCA
rnacentral:lncRNA from 1 species